CUGAUUGGAAGGCAUACAGUUCCAAAAUUCUCCAUUUUGCAAAGACAUCCCAGGUAACUAACUCAGGUGAUUUGUGAGCAACACGGCCCUGAUCCCUCCUGCGUCCAGAACAGUUUGAUGAUUAUACAGAUUGCCUGGGGUCCUGUCUGACUGCCCUCUAGUGUGGAUCUUUAGUAAGAUGAUGGCUUUUGUAUCAAAGUGCUGAGCCAGGAGUUAUACUUCUACAGAAAUUGAAUAGGUAUGAAGUUGAAAAAGGACAAAAGAAAACAAAACCAAGAACAUAAAGGGUCCACUUUGCUGAAUAGUUUUGAAUCAAGAACCCAGUGAUGACAUUUAUGAAAAGAAAAAAGAAAUCACCAAGGGAACAAGGCAGUCCUGGGGCUGUUUAACCUUGGUUCUUUGCAAUCCUGAUGAGUUGACAUAGAAUCAGCAUUCUUCCCCGACUGGUUUUGCAGAACUAGAUGCCAAGGAGUCAAGGAAAAGGAGGUGAAGAGAGAAUUCCAAGCAGAUGGCAUGGCACAAGCAUAAGGAAGAGAGCCGGUGCUCUGGGAACUGCAGGGAGUCCUGUGCAGUCACACAUAGUGAGGCAGGGUAGCCUGGCCUGCAUAAGGCCCUUCUCCUGAAUGAGGAAACAAGUCCUCAGAAAAGGAGCUUCCUUGCCCUUCGAGGAGGGUCACCCCUUGACAUUGAACAUGAGAAAGUGUGUUUUCUGAUCUUUAAAAUAUAUGCAUUCUGGGGCUGGGUUGUGGCUCAGCAGUAGAGCACUGGCCCAGCAAGUG